AGAGUUUGAUCCGGGCUCAGGACGAACGCUGCGCGGCGUGCCUAAUACAUCGUUAGUAGAACGCUGAAGAGAGGAGCUUGCUCUUCUUGGAUGAGUUGCGAACGGGUGAGUAACGCGUAGGUAACCUGCCUUGUAGCGGGGGAUAACUAUUGGAAACGAUAGCUAAUACCGCAUAACAAUAGGUGACACAUGUCAUUUAUUUGAAAGGGGCAAUUGCUCCACUACAAGAUGGACCUGCGUUGUAUUAGCUAGUAGGUGAGGUAACGGCUCACCUAGGCGACGAUACAUAGCCGACCUGAGAGGGUGAUCGGCCACACUGGGACUGAGACACGGCCCAGACUCCUACGGGAGGCAGCAGUAGGGAAUCUUCGGCAAUGGGGGCAACCCUGACCGAGCAACGCCGCGUGAGUGAAGAAGGUUUUCGGAUCGUAAAGCUCUGUUGUAAGUCAAGAACGAGUGUGAGAGUGGAAAGUUCACACUGUGACGGUAGCUUACCAGAAAGGGACGGCUAACUACGUGCCAGCAGCCGCGGUAAUACGUAGGUCCCGAGCGUUGUCCGGAUUUAUUGGGCGUAAAGCGAGCGCAGGCGGUUUGAUAAGUCUGAAGUUAAAGGCUGUGGCUCAACCAUAGUUCGCUUUGGAAACUGUCAAACUUGAGUGCAGAAGGGGAGAGUGGAAUUCCAUGUGUAGCGGUGAAAUGCGUAGAUAUAUGGAGGAACACCGGUGGCGAAAGCGGCUCUCUGGUCUGUAACUGACGCUGAGGCUCGAAAGCGUGGGGAGCGAACAGGAUUAGAUACCCUGGUAGUCCACGCCGUAAACGAUGAGUGCUAGGUGUUGGAUCCUUUCCGGGAUUCAGUGCCGCAGCUAACGCAUUAAGCACUCCGCCUGGGGAGUACGACCGCAAGGUUGAAACUCAAAGGAAUUGACGGGGGCCCGCACAAGCGGUGGAGCAUGUGGUUUAAUUCGAAGCAACGCGAAGAACUUUACCAGGUCUUGACAUCCCGAUGCUAUUUCUAGAGAUAGAAAGUUACUUCGGUACAUCGGUGACAGGUGGUGCAUGGUUGUCGUCAGCUCGUGUCGUGAGAUGUUGGGUUAAGUCCCGCAACGAGCGCAACCCCUAUUGUUAGUUGCCAUCAUUCAGUUGGGCACUCUAGCGAGACUGCCGGUAAUAAACCGGAGGAAGGUGGGGAUGACGUCAAAUCAUCAUGCCCCUUAUGACCUGGGCUACACACGUGCUACAAUGGUUGGUACAACGAGUUGCGAGUCGGUGACGGCAAGCUAAUCUCUUAAAGCCAAUCUCAGUUCGGAUUGUAGGCUGCAACUCGCCUACAUGAAGUCGGAAUCGCUAGUAAUCGCGGAUCAGCACGCCGCGGUGAAUACGUUCCCGGGCCUUGCACACACCGCCCGUCA
rnacentral:rRNA from 1 species